GGUGUCGUGGCGCAAUGGUAGCGCGUUGGCUUCCGGUUCUUCAGAUUGCCAAAGGCUGCAGGUUCGAGUCCUGCCGAUAUCG